GGUUAAGCGAACAAGCGUACACGGUGGAUGCCCUGGCAGUCAGAGGCGAUGAAGGACGUGCUAAUCUGCGAAAAGCGCCGGUAAGGUGAUAUGAACCGUUAUAACCGGCGAUGUCCGAAUGGGGAAACCCGGUGCACUUCGGUGCAUCAUCGUUAGCUGAAUACAUAGGCUAACGAGGCGAACCGGGGGAACUGAAACAUCUAAGUACCCCGAGGAAAAGAAAUCAACCGAGAUUCCCCCAGUAGCGGCGAGCGAACGGGGAACAGCCCAGAGCCUGAAUCAGCUUGUGUGUCAGUGGAACGGUCUGGAAAGGCCGGCGAUACAGGGUGACAGCCCCGUACACGAAGGCACACAGGCUGUGAGCUCGAUGAGUAGGGCGGGACACGUGAUAUCCUGUCUGAAGAUGGGGGGACCAUCCUCCAAGGCUAAAUACUCCUGACUGACCGAUAGUGAACCAGUACCGUGAGGGAAAGGCGAAAAGAACCCCGGCGAGGGGAGUGAAACAGAACCUGAAACCGUGUACGUACAAGCAGUGGGAGCCUUCGUAAGAGGGUGACUGCGUACCUUUUGUAUAAUGGGUCAGCGACUUAUAUUCUGUAGCAAGGUUAACCGUAUAGGGGAGCCGAAGGGAAACCGAGUCUUAACCGGGCGUUAAGUUGCAGGGUAUAGACCCGAAACCCGGUGAUCUAGCCAUGGGCAGGUUGAAGGUUGGGUAACACUAACUGGAGGACCGAACCGACUAAUGUUGAAAAAUUAGCGGAUGACCUGUGGCUGGGGGUGAAAGGCCAAUCAAACCGGGAGAUAGCUGGUUCUCCCCGAAAGCUAUUUAGGUAGCGCCUCGUGAACUCAUCUCCGGGGGUAGAGCACUGUUUCGGCUAGGGGGCCAUCCCGGCUUACCAACCCGAUGCAAACUGCGAAUACCGGAGAAUGUUAUCACGGGAGACACACGGCGGGUGCUAACGUCCGUCGUGAAGAGGGAAACAACCCAGACCGCCAGCUAAGGUCCCAAAGUCAUGGUUAAGUGGGAAACGAUGUGGGAAGGCCCAGACAGCCAGGAUGUUGGCUUAGAAGCAGCCAUCAUUUAAAGAAAGCGUAAUAGCUCACUGGUCGAGUCGGCCUGCGCGGAAGAUGUAACGGGGCUAAACCAUGCACCGAAGCUGCGGCAGCGACACUGUGUGUUGUUGGGUAGGGGAGCGUUCUGUAAGCCUGCGAAGGUGUGCUGUGAGGCAUGCUGGAGGUAUCAGAAGUGCGAAUGCUGACAUAAGUAACGAUAAAGCGGGUGAAAAGCCCGCUCGCCGGAAGACCAAGGGUUCCUGUCCAACGUUAAUCGGGGCAGGGUGAGUCGACCCCUAAGGCGAGGCCGAAAGGCGUAGUCGAUGGGAAACAGGUUAAUAUUCCUGUACUUGGUGUUACUGCGAAGGGGGGACGGAGAAGGCUAUGUCGGCCGGGCGACGGUUGUCCCGGUUUAAGCGUGUAGGCUGACUUUCCAGGCAAAUCCGGAGAGUUAAGGCUGAGGCGUGAUGACGAGGCACCACGGUGCUGAAGUGACAAAUGCCCUGCUUCCAGGAAAAGCCUCUAAGCAUCAGGUAACAUCAAAUCGUACCCCAAACCGACACAGGUGGUCAGGUAGAGAAUACCAAGGCGCUUGAGAGAACUCGGGUGAAGGAACUAGGCAAAAUGGUGCCGUAACUUCGGGAGAAGGCACGCUGACAUGUAGGUGAAGCCCCUGCGGGUGGAGCUGAAGUCAGUCGAAGAUACCAGCUGGCUGCAACUGUUUAUUAAAAACACAGCACUGUGCAAACACGAAAGUGGACGUAUACGGUGUGACGCCUGCCCGGUGCCGGAAGGUUAAUUGAUGGGGUUAUCGCAAGAGAAGCUCCUGAUCGAAGCCCCGGUAAACGGCGGCCGUAACUAUAACGGUCCUAAGGUAGCGAAAUUCCUUGUCGGGUAAGUUCCGACCUGCACGAAUGGCGUAAUGAUGGCCAGGCUGUCUCCACCCGAGACUCAGUGAAAUUGAACUCGCUGUGAAGAUGCAGUGUACCCGCGGCAAGACGGAAAGACCCCGUGAACCUUUACUACAGCUUGACACUGAACAUUGAGCCUUGAUGUGUAGGAUAGGUGGGAGGCUUUGAAGCGUGGACGCCAGUCUGCGUGGAGCCGACCUUGAAAUACCACCCUUUAAUGUUUGAUGUUCUAACCUGGCGCCGUGAUCCGGCGUGGGGACAGUGUCUGGUGGGUAGUUUGACUGGGGCGGUCUCCUCCCAAAGUGUAACGGAGGAGCACGAAGGUCAGCUAAUCCUGGUCGGACAUCAGGAGGUUAGUGCAAUGGCAUAAGCUGGCUUGACUGCGAGAGUGACGGCUCGAGCAGGUGCGAAAGCAGGUCAUAGUGAUCCGGUGGUUCUGUAUGGAAGGGCCAUCGCUCAACGGAUAAAAGGUACUCCGGGGAUAACAGGCUGAUACCGCCCAAGAGUUCAUAUCGACGGCGGUGUUUGGCACCUCGAUGUCGGCUCAUCACAUCCUGGGGCUGAAGUAGGUCCCAAGGGUAUGGCUGUUCGCCAUUUAAAGUGGUACGCGAGCUGGGUUUAGAACGUCGUGAGACAGUUCGGUCCCUAUCUGCCGUGGGCGCUGGAGAAUUGAGGGGGGCUGCUCCCAGUACGAGAGGACCGGAGUGGACGCAUCACUGGUGUUCGGGUUGUCAUGCCAAUGGCACUGCCCGGUAGCUAAAUGCGGAAGAGAUAAGUGCUGAAAGCAUCUAAGCACGAAACUUGCCCCGAGAUGAGUUCUCCCUGAGACUGUAAGUCUCCUGAAGGAACGUUGAAGACGACGACGUUGAUAGGCCGGGUGUGUAAGCGCAGCGAUGCGUUGAGCUAACCGGUACUAAUGAACCGUGAGGCUUAACCUU
rnacentral:rRNA from 1 species